rnacentral:rRNA from 1 species
AUACGGAGGAUCCGAGCGUUAUCCGGAUUUAUUGGGUUUAAAGGGAGCGUAGAUGGAUGUUUAAGUCAGUUGUGAAAAUUUGCGGCUCAACCGUAAAAUUGCAGUUGAUACUGGAUAUCUUGAGUGCAGUUGAGGCAGGCGGAAUUCGUGGUGUAGCGGUGAAAUGCUUAGAUAUCACGAAGAACUCCGAUUGCGAAGGCAGCCUGCUAAGCUGCAACUGACAUUGAGGCUCGAAAGUGUGGGUAUCAAACGGGAUUAGAUACCCUGGUAGUCCACACGGUAAACGAUGAAUACUCGCUGUUUGCGAUAUACAGCAAGCGGCCAAGCGAAAGCGUUAAGUAUUCCACCUGGGGAGUACGCCGGCAACGGUGAAACUCAAAGGAAUUGACGGGGGCCCGCACAAGCGGAGGAACAUGUGGUUUAAUUCGAUGAUACGCGAGGAACCUUACCCGGGCUUAAAUUGCAGAUGAAUUACGGUGAAAGCCGUAAGCCGCAAGGCAUCUGUGAAGGUGCUGCAUGGUUGUCGUCAGCUCGUGCCGUGAGGUGUCGGCUUAAGUGCCAUAACGAGCGCAACCCUUGUUGUCAGUUACUAACAGGUUCCGCUGAGGACUCUGACAAGACUGCCAUCGUAAGAUGUGAGGAAGGUGGGGAUGACGUCAAAUCAGCACGGCCCUUACGUCCGGGGCUACACACGUGUUACAAUGGGGGGUACAGAGGGUCGCUACCACGCGAGUGGAUGCCAAUCCCCAAAACCUCUCUCAGUUCGGACUGGAGUCUGCAACCCGACUCCACGAAGCUGGAUUCGCUAGUAAUCGCGCAUCAGCCACGGCGCGGUGAAUACGUUCCCGGGCCUUGUACACACCGCCCGUCAAGCCAUGGGAGCCGGGGGUACCUGAAGUGCGUAACCGCGAGGAGCGCCCUAGGGUAAAACUGGUGACUGGGGCU